rnacentral:misc_RNA from 1 species
GAUGAAGAACGCAGCGAAAUGCGAUACGUAAUGUGAAUUGCAGAAUUCAGUGAAUCAUCGAAUCUUUGAACGCAUAUUGCGCUCUCUGGUAUUCCGGAGAGCAUGCUUGUUUGAGUAUCAGUAAACACCUCAACUUCCAUAUCUUUUUUGAAAUGGGAGUUGGACUUGAGUGAUCCCAACGCUUUUCCUCACCGAAAAGUGGCGGGUUACUUGAAAUGCAGGUGCAGCUGGACUUUUCUCUGAGCUAUAAGCAUAUCUAUUUAGUCUGCCUAAAGAACAGAUUAUUACCUUUGCUGCAGCUAACAUAAAGGAGAUUAGUUCUUGUGCUGACUGAUGCAGGAUUCACAAAGACAGGCUUCGGCCGACUUUGUAAACUCGAUCUCAAAUCAAGUAAGACUACCCGCUGAACUUAAGCAUAUCAAUAAGCGGAGGA